GAUGAACGCUGGCGGCGUGCUUAACACAUGCAAGUCGAGCGAAGCACUUAAGUUUGAUUCUUCGGAUGAAGACUUUUUGUGACUGAGCGGGCGGACGGGUGAGUAACGCGGGGUAACCUGCCUCAUACAGGGGGAUAACAGUUAGAAAUGGCUGCUAAUACCGCAUAAGACCACAGUACUGCAUGGUACAGUGGUAAAAACUCCGGUGGUAUGAGAUGGACCCGCGUCUGAUUAGGUAGUUGGUGAGUAACGGCCCACCAAGCCGACGAUCAGUAGCCGACCUGAGAGGGUGACCGGCCACAUUGGGACUGAGACACGGCCCAG
rnacentral:rRNA from 1 species